UACGGAGGAUCCAAGCGUUAUCCGGAUUCAUUGGGUUUAAAGGGUGCGUAGGCGGAAUGAUAAGUCAGUGGUGAAAUCUCAGAGCUUAACUCUGAAACUGCCAUUGAUACUGUCAAUCUUGAGUACAUUUGAUGUGGGCGGAAUGUGUCAUGUAGCGGUGAAAUGCUUAGAUAUGACACAGAACACCGAUUGCGAGGGCAGCUCACAAAACUGUAACUGACGCUGAGGCACGAAAGCGUGGGUAUCAAACAGG
rnacentral:rRNA from 1 species